rnacentral:rRNA from 1 species
AACGAACGCUGGCGGCGUGCCUAACACAUGCAAGUCGCGCGAGAAAAGGGGGGUAACUCCCUGAGUAAAGCGGCGCACGGGUGAGUAACACGUAGGUAACCUACCCCCGAGUCCAGGAUAACCUGCCGAAAGGUGGGCUAAUACCGGAUAUGACCACGGGAGCUUCGGCUCCUGAGGUGAAAGGUGGCCUCUGCUCGCAAGCUACUGCUCGAGGAUGGGCCUGCGCGCCAUUAGCUAGUUGGUGGGGUAACGGCCCACCAAGGCGAUGAUGGCUAGCUGGUCUGAGAGGAUGGCCAGCCACACUGGGACUGAAACACGGCCCAGACUCCUACGGGAGGCAGCAGUGGGGGAUAUUGCGCAAUGGGCGAAAGCCUGACGCAGCGACGCCGCGUGGGUGAUGAAGGCC